AUGGUUAAGUGACUAAGCGUACACGGUGGAUGCCUUGGCAGUCAGAGGCGAUGAAAGGCGUAAUAACUUGCGAUAAGCCCAGAUUAGGUAGUAAUAACCUUUUGAGUCUGGGAUUCCUGAAUGGGGAAACCCACUUACAUAAGUAAGUAUCCUGUUGUGAAUACAUAGCAACAGGAGGCAAACCGGGGGAACUGAAACAUCUAAGUACCCCGAGGAAGAGAAAUCAACCGAGAUUCCGAAAGUAGCGGCGAGCGAAAUUGGAUUAGCCCUUAAGCUUUUAAUGAUGCAGGUGAAGAGUCUGGAAAGUCUCGCAAUAAAGGGUGAUAGCCCCGUAACCGACACAUCAUAAUCAGUGAAAACGAGUAGGGCGGGACACGUGAUAUCCUGUCUGAAUAUGGGGGGACCAUCCUCCAAGGCUAAAUACUACUGACUGACCGAUAGUGAACCAGUACCGUGAGGGAAAGGCGAAAAGAACCCCUGUGAGGGGAGUGAAAUAGAACCUGAAACCGUGUACGUACAAGCAGUAGGAGCACCUUCGUGGUGUGACUGCGUACCUUUUGUAUAAUGGGUCAGCGACUUAAUUUUAGUAGCAAGGUUAACCGUUUAGGGGAGCCGUAGGGAAACCGAGUCUUAACUGGGCGUACAGUUGCUAGGAUUAGACCCGAAACCAGGUGAUCUAGCCAUGGGCAGGUUGAAGGUUGAGUAACAUCAACUGGAGGACCGAACCGACUAAUGUUGAAAAAUUAGCGGAUGACUUGUGGCUAGGGGUGAAAGGCCAAUCAAACCUGGAGAUAGCUGGUUCUCCCCGAAAGCUAUUUAGGUAGCGCCUCGGACGAAUACUACUGGGGGUAGAGCACUGUUAAGGCUAGGGGGUCAUCCCGACUUACCAACCCUUUGCAAACUCCGAAUACCAGUAAGUACUAUCCGGGAGACACACGGCGGGUGCUAACGUCCGUCGUGGAGAGGGAAACAACCCAGACCGCCAGCUAAGGUCCCAAAGUAUAGCUAAGUGGGAAACGAUGUGGGAAGGCUCAGACAGCCAGGAUGUUGGCUUAGAAGCAGCCAUCAUUUAAAGAAAGCGUAAUAGCUCACUGGUCGAGUCGGCCUGCGCGGAAGAUGUAACGGGGCUAAGCUAUACACCGAAGCUGCGGCUACGUACCUUAGGGUAUGUGGGGUAGGGGAGCGUUCUGUAAGCCGUUGAAGGUGGUCUGUAAGGGCUGCUGGAGGUAUCAGAAGUGCGAAUGCUGACAUGAGUAACGAUAAAGGGAGUGAAAAACUCCCUCGCCGGAAGACCAAGGGUUCCUGUCCAACGUUAAUCGGGGCAGGGUAAGUCGACUCCUAAGGCGAGGCCGAAAGGCGUAGUCGAUGGGAAAC
rnacentral:rRNA from 1 species